rfam:Microsporum canis CBS 113480 supercont1.5 genomic scaffold, whole genome shotgun sequence.
GGCCGCGUGGCCCAAUGGUUAGGGCGUUGGAUUUCGGUUCCUAACCCAUUAUUAUAAAUAUAUGGGUUAUUUAUACCUCCAAAGAUUGUGCGUUCGAAUCGCACCGUGGUCG